rnacentral:rRNA from 1 species
AUACGGAGGGUACAAGCGUUGUCCGGAUUUAUUGGGUUUAAAGGGUGCGUAGGUGGCGUGUUAAGUCAGUGGUGAAAGCCUGCAGCUCAACUGUAGAGGUGCCAUUGAUGCUGACAUGCUUGAGUAUGGACGAGGUAGGCGGAAUUUGUGGUGUAGCGGUGAAAUGCAUAGAUACCACAAAGAACACCGAUAGCGAAGGCAGCUUACUGGACCAUAACUGGCACUGAGGCACGAAAGUGUGGGUAGCGAACAGGAUUAGAAACCCUAGUAGUCC